rnacentral:rRNA from 1 species
GACGAACGCUGGCGGCAUGCCUAACACAUGCAAGUCGAACGAGACCUCCGGGUCUAGUGGCGCACGGGUGCGUAACGCGUGGGAACCUGCCCUUAGGUUCGGAAUAACUCCCCGAAAGGGGUGCUAAUACCGGAUAAUGUCUUCGAACCAAAGAUUUUUCGCCUUUGGAUGGGCCCGCGUUGGAUUCGCUAGUUGGUAGGGUAAAAGCAUACCAAGGCGACGAUCCAUAGCUGGUCUGAGAGAAUGAUCAGCGACACUGGGACUGAGACACGGCCCAGAAUCCUACGGGAGGCGGCAGUGGGGGACAGUGGACAAUGGGCGAAAGGCUGAUCCAGCAAUGCCGCGUGAGUGAUGAAGGCAUUGGGGAUGUAAUGCUCUUGUAACCGUGCUGAUAAUGACAGUACCGGGUGAAUAAGCUCCGGCUAACUACGUG